UUUUCUAUUGCAUAUUUUUCUCUUGCUUAGAUAUUUUUUCUUUUUGAUUAUUCGACAACUUUACUUCCAUCGUACUCAUUUUUUAUAUCAAACAAAUUUUAAUUAUUUACUUUCUUGUCUUUUUUUUGUAAUUCACCCAUUCAGUUUUUUAACUUUAUAAUUUUUUUUAUUCAUCUCAAUAGCUCAUGUUUUCUGCAGUCUCUUUCUUGCCUUCAACUAUCCCUCCUUCUAUUAAUUGAUACAUAUAUUUUGCGAGCUGCUGGUAUCAACAUUAGGAAUUACUUAGCAAGACCAACUACGCUGCUUAUAAAAGGACCGGCUUGUCUUGAUAAAAAUUGCAUCUGAUUACUACUUCGAUACU
rnacentral:lncRNA from 1 species